CUCCAAAUUGAGGACACGUCCUGAGAUACUGGAGGUGAGCACAUGGGCGAGCGUGCUGAGUCCUGUCCAACUCUCUUGUGACAGGUUCCUCUGUCCAUGGGAUUCUCCAGCCAGGAACACGUGAUUCUCUUGUGUCUGCCGCAUCAGCAGGUGGGUUCUUUACCACUGCCACCACCUGGGAAGCCUCACCUGGGAGGUGAGGAUGUAAAUUGGGGGGAGACACAGUUCAGCCCAUAGCACCACCUCUGUGCUUCUGAGCCCAUGUAACUCUCCUAAACUAUAGAGAUGCCUCGUCAUCAUUGGCCAGAUUGCUCCACUUGAAUGCCCCACGUAACCCUUCAUGUUUUCUGGCUUCUACGCACUUUUUGCUCUGUUUGGGGAGUUUCCAGCCACUUGAAUCUCGUUUCCACCCCACAGGUAUUUUCCAGCCUCUUUUGUGGUCAGGCUCAGGCCCGCGAGCUAUUCUCCACCAAGAGGACUUGCCCUAUGAAACGCUGAUUCAGAAGGAGCAGUUUGAGGAAGGAGGAGGCUUGGAGUGGAGACCGUUUCCCCAGCAGUGGCAGAGGCUUUCAGGGAUACGGCAGUUGCAAGUCGAGUGGAGCUCUGGAUUCCCAAGUAAUAUUCGUGCAUAGAUGAAAAGUUGCAGAACAGAGAAUAAUAUUUGUUUGGUGGAAGGUUUCUGGGAACACUGUGACCUGAGCUAUGCGGACAGCUACAAGAACAAAGGAUUCCAGCACCAAGAAGUUUGCCGUAACCGCCCCCCUUCCCCUUUUAGUAUCAAAGAAGCCGCAGUUCUACUUCAGGCCUUCCCUGAGUUUCAGAGAACAGACUUGAGCAGUUACUAACUAGGGAGGUGAGGGAAUGCAGAAACAAAGGAAAAGCCGUCAGGAAACAAGAGUUGAGGACUUCCCUGCCGAUCCAGUGGUUAGAACUCUCCGCUUCCAAUGCAGGGGGCCCAGGCGCCGUCCCUGGUCAGGGAACUAGAUCCUGCAUGUCGCGACUGAAAGAACUGCCAUGCUGCAACUGAGGAUCCCGCAUGCUGCAACCAAGAUCAAAGACCUCGUGUGCUGCAGCUGAGACCCAUGAAGCCAAGUUAAGAAAAGAAACACUUCAACAGAUAGAGGCCUAGUUCUUCCUCAAGGGAUAUAUCAAUAUGUAAUAAUCUGAUGUGUAUUUUUGAGUUGUUCUGCAGAAACUAAGAUCCUCACCCAGUUGGAGGAUGGUGACAGCAUGCUGACCACAAUCAUGUAGACUCUAGACUGGUUGGAGCCAGAAGGUUGAUGAUUAGGAUUCCUGAAACACCAGCAUGUAACGUCACCACAAACCAAUCCGAAGAAAGUCUAUGAGCUGCCACAGUCACUGCAAAUGUUGCCUUGAAAAACCGUCCCCCGAGCACCAUCUGAAGGUUCAGGUCUUUUGAGCCUGAGUUGCCUGUUCUCCUUGCUUUAGGUCUUGCAGUAAAAGCUCUACUUUCCUUUACUGCAACCUGAUGUCAGUAGACUGACUUUGGAUGAGCAGACCCAUGUCACUUUGGUAACACUACCGGUACCUUG
ensembl:lncRNA